rnacentral:rRNA from 1 species
UACGUAGGGUGCAAGCGUUGUCCGGAAUUAUUGGGCGUAAAGAGCUCGUAGGCGGUUUGUCGCGUCUGCUGUGAAAGCCCGGGGCUCAACCCCGGGUCUGCAGUGGGUACGGGCAGACUGGAGUGCAGUAGGGGAGACUGGAAUUCCUGGUGUAGCGGUGAAAUGCGCAGAUAUCAGGAGGAACACCGAUGGCGAAGGCAGGUCUCUGGGCUGUAACUGACGCUGAGGAGCGAAAGCAUGGGGAGCGAACAGG